AAGGAGGAGCUUGCUCUUUCCGGAUGAGUUGCGAACGGGUGAGUAACGCGUAGGUAACCUGCCUGGUAGCGGGGGAUAACUAUUGGAAACGAUAGCUAAUACCGCAUAACAGUAGAUAUUGCAUGAUAUCUGCUUGAAAGGUGCAAUUGCAUCACUACCAGAUGGACCUGCGUUGUAUUAGCUAGUUGGUGAGGUAACGGCUCACCAAGGCGACGAUACAUAGCCGACCUGAGAGGGUGAUCGGCCACACUGGGACUGAGACACGGCCCAGACUCCUACGGGAGGCAGCAGUAGGGAAUCUUCGGCAAUGGACGGAAGUCUGACCGAGCAACGCCGCGUGAGUGAAGAAGGUUUUCGGAUCGUAAAGCUCUGUUGUAAGAGAAGAACGAGUGUGAGAGUGGAAAGUUCACACUGUGACGGUAUCUUACCAGAAAGGGACGGCUAACUACGUGCCAGCAGCCGCGGUAAUACGUAGGUCCCGAGCGUUAUCCGGAUUUAUUGGGCGUAAAGCGAGCGCAGGCGGUUAGAUAAGUCUGAAGUUAAAGGCUGUGGCUUAACCAUAGUACGCUUUGGAAACUGUUUAACUUGAGUGCAAGAGGGGAGAGUGGAAUUCCAUGUGUAGCGGUGAAAUGCGUAGAUAUAUGGAGGAACACCGGUGGCGAAAGCGGCU
rnacentral:rRNA from 1 species